GGAUUUUUCGGAUCGUGCCUUUAGUGAUACCAAACAGACCUUUACGUUUUACAUAAUGGUUUGUUGGGUGUCACAAAAGCAGGAUUUUUUCAUUG
rnacentral:pre_miRNA from 1 species